rnacentral:rRNA from 1 species
UACGGAGGGGGCCAGCGUUGUUCGGAAUUAUUGGGCGUAAAGCGUGCGCAGGCGGUGAUGUAAGACAGGUGUGAAAUCCCCGGGCUUAACCUGGGAACUGCAUUUGUGACUGCAUCGCUGGAGUGCGGCAGAGGGGGAUGGAAUUCCGCGUGUAGCAGUGAAAUGCGUAGAUAUGCGGAGGAACACCGAUGGCGAAGGCAAUCCCCUGGGCCUGCACUGACGCUCAGGCACGAAAGCGUGGGGAGCAAACAGG